rnacentral:rRNA from 1 species
UUGAUCCUGGCUCAGGAUGAACGCUAGCGGCAGGCUUAACACAUGCAAGUCGAGGGGUAACGAUGGUGCUUGCACCAGGCGACGACCGGCGCACGGGUGAGUAACGCGUAUGCAACCUGCCUUAAACUGGAGAAUAGCUCCCGGAAACGGGGAUUAAUGCUCCAUAAUGUUAUGAGAUCGCAUGAUUUUAUAAUUAAAGCUCCGGCGGUUUAAGAUGGGCAUGCGUACCAUUAGUUAGUUGGUAAGGUAACGGCUUACCAAGGCAGCGAUGGUUAGGGGGUCUAAAAGGAUGGUCCCCCACACUGGUACUGAGACACGGACCAGACUCCUACGGGAGGCAGCAGUGAAGAAUAUUGGUCAAUGGACGCAAGUCUGAACCAGCCAUGCCGCGUGCAGGAUUGAAUGCCCUAUGGGUUGUAAACUGCUUUUCUGUACCAAGAAACGUACUUACGUGUAAGUAUUUGACGGUAGUACAGGAAUAAGCAUCGGCUAACUCCGUGCCAGCAGCCGCGGUAAUACGGAGGAUGCAAGCGUUAUCCGGAUUCAUUAGGUUUAAAGGGUGCGCAGGCGGAAUAAUAAGUCAGUGGUGAAAUCUUGCCGCUUAACGGUGAAACUGCCAUUGAAACUGUUAUUCUUGAGUGUAGUUGAGGUAGGCGGAAUGUGUAGUGUAGCGGUGACAUGCUUAGAUAUUACACAGAACACCUAUUGCGAAGGCAGCUUACUAAACUACUACUGACGUUGAGGCACGAAAGCGUGGGGAGCGAACAGGAUUAGAUACCCUGGUAGUCCACGCUGUAAACUAUGAUCACUCG